ACGAAGGGUGCAAGCGUUACUCGGAAUUACUGGGCGUAAAGCGUGCGUAGGUGGUCGUUUAAGUCCGUUGUGAAAGCCCUGGGCUCAACCUGGGAACUGCAGUGGAUACUGGGCGACUAGAAUGUGGUAGAGGGAAGCGGAAUUCCUGGUGUAGCAGUGAAAUGCGUAGAGAUCAGGAGGAACACCAGUGGCGAAGGCAGCUUACUGGACCAUAAUUGACGCUGAGUCACGAAAGCGUGGGGAGCAAACAG
rnacentral:rRNA from 1 species